CUCGAUGAGUAGGGCGGGACACGUGGUAUCCUGUCUGAAUAUGGGGGGACCAUCCUCCAAGGCUAAAUACUCCUGACUGACCGAUAGUGAACCAGUACCGUGAGGGAAAGGCGAAAAGAACCCCGGCGAGGGGAGUGAAAAAGAACCUGAAACCGUGUACGUACAAGCAGUGGGAGCACCCUUUGGGGUGUGACUGCGUACCUUUUGUAUAAUGGGUCAGCGACUUAUAUUCUGUAGCAAGGUUAACCGUAUAGGGGAGCCGGAGGGAAACCGAGUCUUAACCGGGCGUUAAGUUGCAGGGUAUAGACCCGAAACCCGGUGAUCUAGCCAUGGGCAGGUUGAAGGUUGGGUAACACUAACUGGAGGACCGAACCGACUAAUGUUGAAAAAUUAGCGGAUGACCUGUGGCUGGGGGUGAAAGGCCAAUCAAACCGGGAGAUAGCUGGUUCUCCCCGAAAGCUAUUUAGGUAGCGCCUCGUGAAUUCAUCUCCGGGGGUAGAGCACUGUUUCGGCUAGGGGGCCAUCCCGGCUUACCAACCCGAUGCAAACUGCGAAUACCGGAGAAUGUUAUCACGGGAGACACACGGCGGGUGCUAACGUCCGUCGUGAAGAGGGAAACAACCCAGACCGCCAGCUAAGGUCCCAAAGUCAUGGUUAAGUGGGAAACGAUGUGGGAAGGCCCAGACAGCCAGGAUGUUGGCUUAGAAGCAGCCAUCAUUUAAAGAAAGCGUAAUAGCUCACUGGUCGAGUCGGCCUGCGCGGAAGAUGUAACGGGGCUAAACCAUGCACCGAAGCUGCGGCAGCGACACUAUGUGUUGUUGGGUAGGGGAGCGUUCUGUAAGCCUGUGAAGGUGUGUCGUGAGGC
rnacentral:rRNA from 1 species